UUGUUUAUUUGCGUAUUCAUUAUUUAUUUAAUCACUUAUAUAACCAAUUCUUUCUUUAAUCACUUAUUCGCCGAUUUAUUGUUUUAUUUAAUCACUCGUUGCUUUAUUUAUUCACGCAUAAGAUACGCGUCAACCUCAUUAAAACAUGUCCAAACAUGAUCUCCGGAAAAGAGAGAAAAAUGUUCGGUAACCGUAUGGGCAAAAGUUCAAGAGUUCAACUCCAGACGUGGGCAAUCCCUCACGACGUGGACAGAUACUGUCAAAGGGCAAAAGUUCAACGCAAAGGAGGCAGUCAAUCACAAUGGGGCGGAUACGGUCAAAGGUCAACGCAAAGGGGGCGGGGCCCUCACAACGUGGGUGGUCCGGAAGUAAUUCAACCCCCCCCGCAAAGGUCAAGGGUCACCAUCAAUCAUUUUGACACAAUGACCCCUAUAUAUACUACUCAUGUUUUCAAAUAUUGAAAAUAUAUUUUUCAACAAUUAAUAUUUCAUAAUUGUUUAGUUUUCCUGUUAAAAAGAAUAUUUUUUUACCAAGGAUUAAAGCUAUAGAGACUGAUUUUAAGUAGUGUGAUGGAAAGAUAAGCUCAGAAUAAACAGAGGGAAGGGGAGAAUGGUAUUGCACAGGACCUCUGUGCCAUAUUGAAUGUGGGUAAGUGUCUGGGUAACGGAAUAUCUUCCACAUAAUAUCUUGACACACACAUAAUUAAUUGUCAACUUGCUAAAUUUUUUUUUUUUUUCAAAAAUAAUUUGUAAAUCAGUUUUAAAGCCUUUCAACUUUUAUUUUGUUUUAUUUUUAUUUUAUUACUGAUACAUUUUAUAUGUGAUCAAAUAUUUUUCUUCUUAACUGAUUAUUAUUGAGAUUUUUAUAUGUUUUUUUUUCAUUAAAAAAAUGUAUCUUAUGAAUCAAGCUCGAAGUGGAACUUUGAUUUUGAAAUAAAAACGGCUUUUAUUUUGAAAAAUAUAAAUGGUCUCAUGUUUCAAACUUUCAAGACAUGCCCACUAGCUGUGACAUCUAGUGACAAAAUUUAGCGGGCUUUUUUCCUCUGGACCUAAUGUGAUUGCUGAAGGAAUAAAACAGUGCUAUUUGCUGAGAUUUCUCAAGAUCAUCAUUUUGUUGACCAUCUGGGAAGAAUUCAUCUGUGCCAUUGGCAAGCUGGUAAUCAGGACUUGAAAAGUAAUAUAAAAAGAUGGCUUCCACUUGCAUCUGAGGGCCCGAAACCAGCAAAAUCUUUAUAAGUCUGUCCUUAUUUUAAGGUACACUUACUUGAGGAGAUUCCAGAUGUUUUAUCGAUCACUUCCAUUUGUUUAUUGUAAUGUUACAAUUCAAAUAAAUAUCUAA